rnacentral:siRNA from 1 species
CCAAAUUUAGCUUAUAUAUACGAC